CUGUUUAAGAGGGAACCCAACCUGUAGGGAACCCAACCUGAGGCAGAAUGGAAGAAAUGAGAAGCACUGUGAGAGACCAGCCUCACUGGUGGGCCAGUCCCCGACCCCUGGGAGAAGAGAACGGGACAGCUCCAGACUCUCCUGCCCUCUUGUUGAGGAAGGUGAAGAGGCUGAUGGGGCCAAGCAGGUCACAGAGCUCAUCUGACCCUAGUCACUGGCAUGAGUCACUGGCAUGAGCUGUCCAGCACCCAGGAGCCGGUCAGGCUGACCUGCAUUACAAAUCAGCAGCCAGUCCUCUCUCACCCAGAUUAGCUUAUUGGCAUUCAGGGCCUAGAAGUCCAAGGGCCUGACCCAGCAGUGGCCCAGAGAGGUCUCUCACCUGCUCUGUGGGCACGAUGACCUCACUUAAGCUAACACAUGUGCAUAAAUUACCAUAGUAUUAUGUCCCCCAGAUGGGCUGCAUCCCUUCAC
rnacentral:lncRNA from 1 species